AAAAAAACGGAAAGGAGAGAAAAAAGGUUUUGGACUUCAUCUUCUUCUUCCUAAAAAAACUGAAAAGAAAAAAAACUCCCACUCUCUCACAUCAAAACGACCCCUUCUUCUUCAUCUUCUCGAAUCAAUCUGCUGCGUCGAAAAAAAAACCCAGCAACAGCCAACAUCUCGGGUCGUUGACCGUCUUGGUCCGAGCUUCCUAUUUCCGUCGAGGUUUCCAUUUUCGUCCAGUGAUUACUGUCAUUUUUGUGUGUGAAGAUUCAAUAUCUUCAAGCUGAUGCCGAUGUGGAUGGCAGGAGCUGUCAUAAAAGAUAUACCUGCUUUCCGGAUAUAGCUACCAAUAGUCCUUGAUGUUUGGCUUACCUAGCGGGUUGGGUUAGGUGUCAUCACGACUAGGUAGAUUUUGGGUCAUGACAAAUCAUUUUGAGGAGUAUUUCUAAGGAAGACGGUAUUGAAUUGUGGAAAUUGUUCCAAAAUGAGUUAUGAUGAUCCAGGUGGCGGACCCAGUCAUCAGUAGCUAAGACGUAUAACUGAGUUGGUCACUGAGAGUCGAGGUAGAUCUUCAUCUCGACCACAGUCUUGGCGUCUCUUCCCAUUUUGUAUUGUUGUCUUUAUUUCGGAUAGUAUUUGUUAUUUAGGUUUUUAGACUUGUAUUUUCGUUUUAGAGCUCAUGACCUUGUAUUUACCUGUUCUAUGGAAUUUAUCAUGUAUUGGUGUUA